rnacentral:rRNA from 1 species
GACGAACGCUGGCGGCGUGCUUAACACAUGCAAGUCGAACGGAAAGGCCCUGCUUUUGUGGGGUGCUCGAGUGGCGAACGGGUGAGUAACACGUGAGUAACCUGCCCUUGACUUUGGGAUAACUUCAGGAAACUGGGGCUAAUACCGGAUAGGAGCUCCUGCUGCAUGGUGGGGGUUGGAAAGUUUCGGCGGUUGGGGAUGGACUCGUGGCUUAUGAGCUUGUUGGUGGGGUAGUGGCUUACCAAGGCUUUGACGGGUAGCCGGCCUGAGAGGGGGACCGGCCACAAUGGGACUGAGAUACGGCCCAGACUCCUACGGGAGGCAGCAGUGGGGAAUAUUGCACAAUGGGCGGAAGCCUGAUGCAGCAACGCCGCGUGCGGGAUGACGGCCUUCGGGUUGUAAACCGCUUUCGCCUGUGACGAAGCGUGAGUGUCGGUAAUGGGUAAAGAAGCACCGGCUAACUACGUG